rnacentral:rRNA from 1 species
AGUGGCGGACGGGUGAGUACACGUUGGAACCUGCCCCGAAGUGGGGAAUAACUGCUCGAAAGAGUAGCUAAUACCCCAUAGUAUCCGGUUUAUCCGGAUUAAAGAUUUAUCGCUUCGGGAGGGGCCUGCGUCUGAUUAGCUUGUUGGUGGGGUAAAAGCUCACCAAGGCGACGAUCAGUAGCUGGUUCGAGAGGAUGACCAGCCACACUGGGACUGAGAUACGGCCCAGACUCCUACGGGAGGCAGCAGUGAGGAAUCUUCCACAAUGGACGAAAGUCUGAUGGAGCAAUACCGCGUGCAGGACGACGCUUUUCGGAGUGUAAACUGCUUUUGUCGUCGAAGAUUAUGACUGUAGACGAAGAAUAAGGACCGGCUAACUACGUG